GUCGAGCGGACCCUUCGGGGUUAGCGGCGGACGGGUGAGUAACACGUAGGCAACCUGCCUGUAAGACUGGGAUAACUACCGGAAACGGUAGCUAAGACCGGAUAAGUGAUUCUUUUGCAUGAGAGGAUCAAGAAACACGGGGCAACCUGUGGCUUACAGAUGGGCCUGCGGCGCAUUAGCUAGUUGGUGGGGUAACGGCUCACCAAGGCGACGAUGCGUAGCCGACCUGAGAGGGUGAUCGGCCACACUGGGACUGAGACACGGCCCAGACUCCUACGGGAGGCAGCAGUAGGGAAUCUUCCGCAAUGGACGCAAGUCUGACGGAGCAACGCCGCGUGAGUGAUGAAGGUUUUCGGAUCGUAAAGCUCUGUUGCCAGGGAAGAACGUCGCGGAGAGUAACUGCUCUGCGAAUGACGGUACCUGAGAAGAAAGCCCCGGCUAACUACGUGCCAGCAGCCGCGGUAAUACGUAGGGGGCAAGCGUUGUCCGGAAUUAUUGGGCGUAAAGCGCGCGCAGGCGGCCGCUUAAGUCUGGUGUUUAAGCCCGAGGCUCAACCUCGGUUCGCACUGGAAACUGGGUGGCUUGAGUGCAGGAGAGGAAAGCGGAAUUCCACGUGUAGCGGUGAAAUGCGUAGAGAUGUGGAGGAACACCAGUGGCGAAGGCGGCUUUCUGGCCUGUAACUGACGCUGA
rnacentral:rRNA from 1 species